rnacentral:lncRNA from 1 species
UGCCGUGGUCAUGAUGGGAAACUCAAUUUGUGGUACUGUCACUUGUACCUGAUAUGCCCAUUAUUGCACCCCACUGACGUACCUUAUUCAACUUCCCUUUCUUUUCUUCUUUCAAAAGGUAGUGAGAGCACAUAAGUUCAUCACAACAAUCAUGUGUUCAACCCAAUCAAGUUUUUGUCCCGACUAGCUGGGAAUUGUGGCUUAGUUUUACUUCCCUAUUGGUCAUUUUUCUUCAUCCGUAAGCCUCAAUAAUUGAUUAUCUUUAUAAUUUAUUUGACUGGUUGAUCUUGAUCAUCAUAAAAUUAAUCUGCAUGACGGGUACUCCAUUUGAGUUCUUAUUGAAGGUUGGCUCUCUAGUUACCAAGUGAAGGAAUUUAUCGAAGCCUGGCCUUGCCCAUUCCUUUAUUCUUGGGCUCUUUGUGAGUGCUGAAACAAAUUUCGGAAAGAUAACGAUGACUCUUUCAAGCCAUCAAGCUCUAGAAAAUUGAACUGGGACGAAAGUCCCAGGAUCUUCUAAUGGGCAGAAAGUGACUUUAGAAAGAGACAAUUUUUGAUAAUUUUGUUACAUACUACUUAAAAGUUGUGGUUGUGUUAGUGUAACUGUUUUGGCCUUUUUGGUGAUGCAAAUCAAGUUUUAAAAUCAGGAAUGGAUAAGAAUGGUUUUGUGUUGUAUAAAAGCAGAGAGCAAAUUAAAGUUGCUUUAUGAUCUAUUUCGUCACGCAUGAGACCUACCGGCUACCUUAGUACAUCUGUUAGCGAUUCUGGACCCAAUUGAUAAUUUUUUUAGCUUUAAAUAUAGGGCCACUUUGAAAUAUGGUACAAAGACAAGUUAAUUUCGUUAUUGCUAGUAGUAUUAAAACAAUUUUAUUUCUGGAUUACAUGCUUUGUUAAUUGAUUGUUGGUUGUUAUAGACUUCUCUGUAGUCUGUACUAUUCAUUGC